rnacentral:rRNA from 1 species
UACGUAGGGUGCAAGCGUUUAAUCGGAAUUACUGGGCGUAAAGCGUGCGCAGGCGGUUAUGUAAGACAGUUGUGAAAUCCCCGGGCUCAACCUGGGAACUGCAUCUGUGACUGCAUAGCUAGAGUACGGUAGAGGGGGGAUGGAAUUCCGCGUGUAGCAGUGAAAUGCGUAGAUAUGCGGAGGAACACCGAUGGCGAAGGCAAUCCCCCUGGACCUGUACUGACGCUCAUGCACGAAAGCGUGGGGGAGCAAACAGG